rnacentral:tRNA from 1 species
UAGCUCAGUGGUUAAGAGCACUGACUGCUAUUCCAGAGGACCUGGGUUCAGUUCCCAG